AUUGAACGCUGGCGGCAUGCCUAACACAUGCAAGUCGAGCGAGCGGCGGACGGGUGAGUAAUGUAUGGGGACUGCCCGAUAGAGGGGGAUAACUACUGGAAACGGUGGCUAAUACCGCAUACUAACUGUUAACCCACAUGUGCUUAGCUAGUAGGUGUGGUAAAGGCUCACCUCGGCGACGAUCUCUAGCUGGUCUGAGAGGAUGAUCAGCCACACGGGGACUGGGACACGGCCCCGACUCCUACGGAGGCAGCGGUGGGGAAUAUUGGGCAAUGGGCGAAAGCCUUAUGGAGCCAUGCCGCGUGUAUGAAGAAGGCAUUAGGGUUGUAAAGUACUUUCAGUGGGGAGGCGUUACCCGGAGAAGAAGCACCGGCUAACUCCGUGCCAGCAGCCGCGGUAAUUC
rnacentral:rRNA from 1 species